AGGGAAAGAAAUCGAGGCACAGAGACGUUCCAUAGCUUGACCAAGGGCACAGCUGGGGAAGCCAGCUGCCAGGUCAUGAUCAGACCAGUGGAGAAACAGAGGCCUCUGACCAACAGAUAUGUGAAGUAAGUUUGGGAGUAGAUCCUCCAUGCCCAGCUGACAUCUUGACUGCAGCCUCAUGACAGACCCUGAGCUAGAUGAGACCUCUUCAAGCUGUUCUUGGAUUUCUGACCCUCAGAAAUUGUGUGAUCUCACAAUAAUAAAUGAUUGUUGUUGGGUUU
rnacentral:lncRNA from 10 species